rnacentral:ncRNA from 1 species
UGUUUGGAGAGUUUGAUCCUGGCUCAGGACGAACGCUGGCGGCGUGCUUAACACAUGCAAGUCGAACGGGCUGGCUCUGGUUUUUUGCUGGGGUUGGUUAGUGGCGAACGGGUGAGUAACACGUGAGUAACCUGCCCUCUUCUCCUGGAUAACUGCUUGAAAGGGCGGCUAAUACGGGGUGGUCUGGCCUGCCUGCAUGGGUGGGUUGGUAUAGGUUCAACUUUG